AGGACGAACGCUGGCGGCGUGCUUAACACAUGCAAGUCGAGCGGAAAGGCCCUUCGGGGUACUCGAGCGGCGAACGGGUGAGUAACACGUGAGCAACCUGCCCUUAGCUCUGGGAUAGCUCCGGGAAACUGGAAUUAAUACCGGAUACGACCUAGGCCGGCAUCGGCCAUGGUGGAAAGUUUUUCGGCUAGGGAUGGACUCGCGGCCUAUCAGCUAGUUGGUGGGGUAAAGGCCUACCAAGGCGACGACGGGUA
rnacentral:rRNA from 1 species